rnacentral:lncRNA from 13 species
AUCUCUUCUGCCAAAAUAAAACUGGCCUUGACAGCAGCCUGGCCUUGUGAUUUGGCUUUUUUGAACAGAGCCUGUCGAGAUUUGAGGCCUCGUUUUAAUUCCUCUGCCUUUUGUAGCCUUUGUUCCAUGUCCAUAUUCUUGUUUUUGUCCGCGUGUUUCGUUUCAUAAUGUCGUCUCAGAUUAUACUCUUUCAGUACCGCCACACUUUCUCCACACAGAAGACACACAGGUUUUCCAGCUACCUUCGUGAACAUAUACUCCGACUCCCACCUUGUUUGAAACCCCCGGUUCUCAGUAUCCACCUUCCGUUUUGCCAUUUUUGAUGGGUAUCUGAAAGUUAAUUUUACUGUGAUGCUGACGACUGCUGUGCCAAUAAAUAUUGAAAUGAAGCAGCCUACUGCUCGGUGCGUCACCUUUGCAUUGUGGGAAAUGUAGUAUUGGUGCGUGUAAAAGAUCUGCGGGCUGCCGGCUUGCUGCGGGCCGGUUCUAAUAAUAAAUCAAGAUCAUCCCAGGGGCCGUAAAAAACCUUCUUGCGGGCCGGAUGUGGCCCGCGGGCCUUGACUCUGACAUAUGUGUUUUAGCAGGUUCCCCGAUGGAGUCAGAUGAGGACCCAUAGAACGCUCGAGGAACUGAAUGAAGCCUUGGAAGGACACUCUGACAAUGCAGAAUGGUUCUGCCAACGAGACUAGGCCCAACUUCAACUGAAAAACUACAGCUGAGCUGUCAACAAUGCCAAGAAAUCCCAGCAGCUCAACCCCAGCCUUCUUCUUGCCUUCAUGAGAAUGGGAAUGGCAGAGGACCACCUGAACCACUUUGAGGUGUCACAUGCUGCCUUCACGAAGGGACACAGCCUGGAUGGUUCAGAUGACACUUUCCGAACGUGGCUCAAACGCUGUGAGGAGAUGAUGGGCGACGGCGAAUCAGAAAGGAAACGAGAAUAA